CCUGUAUAACUUAGUCCAUGGACAGUAAAUAUUGACUAACUUUUUUUUUUGUGUGUAACAUAGUUAUAAAAAAAUUAUUUAUCUAUAAUUGUUAGUGUUUAAAAUGUCUAAUUCAAUCAACAUAUGCAUACUUAUACAAAGCUUAGGAGUACAUUAUAAGUUUAUCUUCAACUCAAGUCAAUCAUGAGCAUGCGAUCAGUUAAAAAAAAUCAAGAACUAACCAUCAUUAUUGAUAAUUUUAUUUGCGGAUUUACCAUGGAUAAAUGAAUUCCACUGAUACCCAUAUCUUCACGAUGAAAAACAAGGUAAUUUU